GGCGCUUUGGCGGAGUGGUUAUCGCGUGGCACUCGAAUUUCGAUUCGAGGGGAGCAUCUCCCCACUCAACAAAUACUGAAUAUGCCAUUCCCUCUGGGAGCAUAGGUUCAAAUCCUGUAGGCGUCG
rnacentral:tRNA from 1 species